UAACAAAAUAGUGCCUAGUGACAACUGUAUGUCUCUUUGCAUUCAUAGGUUGGUAUAGAACUACAAGGCAAGUACAGUUGGAGCCAGACUUUCUGUGGACAGAUGUUCUACUACUUUUGAAGAAGAAAAAAGUAAAUAAGGAGCUGGAGGAAGAAACAGAAGAAAGAAGUGACAAUACAGAAAGCUAUUUAGAUCGUUAUCUACUGAUCUCAAGGAACCUUCUUCCCAUCCAGUGAAUGAAUCAUAGUCAUUCAAUAGCAGACUGUUGGACAGAGAUGAAUUCCCCAGCAGCAGCAUGACAGAAGAUACAUUAAACCAGUCACCGGAGCCAUGAAGAGAGAAACUCCACCUUUCCCCAGUAACAACAGAAAUUCAAACUAGGUUUAUUGAAUAGAAGAAAGUGCCUGACUCCAACAGCAGCAUUCCCUUUGCAUUUCCUGUAAAUCAAAACAAGACCGCAGCACUGAAGAUUUUUAUGUCCAGGACUAUAUUUUCAAGUUCUUCUAAACUUUUCUGGUAAACUAACUUUUCAUUAUAUCUCAACUUGUGCAACCAUUUUACUAGAAAACUAUAACCCACAGAAA
rnacentral:lncRNA from 1 species